GGGGAGAGGCACAGAGGGGAGCUGCUGGAGAAGGCAGUACGGCUGGGGACGGCACCAGGUACCCAUGCCCACCCCACGGCCAGGGCGCUGCCUUACUGCUGGUCCCAUAUGAUGAGGUGGAAAAGGGCCCCCAGCAUUGCACAGCCUCCAAACCCAGCGACUUUGCAGAACUCAGCUGUAAGCAGAGAGACGGAAAAGCCCGACUUGAAACCACCUUUCUGGCCCUGACCACGAUAUCAAAACCGCAACGACCUCAGAGCAGAGAACACAGAGACGGCUGCUCCUCCUGGCCAGGAAUCGCCCUUCAAGGAAGGAUUACCUCCUCUUCCCUGCCCAGCAAAACACAUCGCGAAGUGGAUGUUAAACAGAGAAGCGCAGUGAGCCCAAAGCCCCCCCCGGAGACGCUCAGCAUUUGACAUCUCCGGAGCUGAGAGCCAGCUGGGUGCUUUCUUGCUCCAUCCAGGGUUUGUGAGACUCAGUGAGGGACAGACGUGGGGUCUGCCCUGAGCACGGCAGCCCAGGACAUCCAAACUGCCCCCAGAGCCCCUGAGCCACUUGGCUUUAAACGGACCAGAUGGCUGCUAAUGAGCCCAGCCCAGGCUUUGCCUGCUGCAAACACAUUUCUUCCCAAAGACAGCAGGGACUCAAACCUCAGCACGAGCCCCAGCAUGAAGCUGGCUGCACACCCUGCUGCAGUGAGCUUUGUUGAGGUGUCCAAACUGUGGGGAGACAGACUGGAGGUGUUCCCUUUCCCCAGCACUUUGGUCCCUGUUGGCAGCCAUGGGCUCUUCCCGGAAAGACAGCAAUCCCCAAAGCUGGCGGUGCUGGAAGCUGAACAAAGCAAAUCUGCUUUUAACCCCAAAGCAAUAAAAUAAACCGGAUUUUUUCCCCCA